GGGGGGGGGGGGGGGGGUGGGGGGGGGGGGGGGGUCGGGGGGGCGGGCGGGGGGCUUGCGCCUUGGACGUUAGCGGCGGACGGGUGAGUAACACGUAGGUAACCUACCUAUAAGACUGGGAUAACUUCGGGAAACCGGAGCUAAUACCGGAUAAUAUUUCGAACCGCAUGGUUCGAUAGUGAAAGAUGGCUUUGCUAUCACUUAUAGAUGGACCUGCGCCGUAUUAGCUAGUUGGUAAGGUAACGGCUUACCAAGGCAACGAUACGUAGCCGACCUGAGAGGGUGAUCGGCCACACUGGAACUGAGACACGGUCCAGACUCCUACGGGAGGCAGCAGUAGGGAAUCUUCCGCAAUGGGCGAAAGCCUGACGGAGCAACGCCGCGUGAGUGAUGAAGGUCUUCGGAUCGUAAAACUCUGUUAUUAGGGAAGAACAAACGUGUAAGUAACUGUGCACGUCUUGACGGUACCUAAUCAGAAAGCCACGGCUAACUACGUG
rnacentral:rRNA from 1 species